rnacentral:rRNA from 1 species
AUUGAACGCUGGCGGCAGGCUUAACACAUGCAAGUCGAGCGGAGAGAGGUAGCUUGCUACUGAUCUUAGCGGCGGACGGGUGAGUAAUGCUUAGGAAUCUGCCUAUUAGUGGGGGACAACAUUUCGAAAGGAAUGCUAAUACCGCAUACGUCCUACGGGAGAAAGCAGGGGAUCUUCGGACCUUGCGCUAAUAGAUGAGCCUAAGUCGGAUUAGCUAGUUGGUGGGGUAAAGGCCUACCAAGGCGACGAUCUGUAGCGGGUCUGAGAGGAUGAUCCGCCACACUGGGACUGAGACACGGCCCAGACUCCUACGGGAGGCAGCAGUGGGGAAUAUUGGACAAUGGGCGGAAGCCUGAUCCAGCCAUGCCGCGUGUGUGAAGAAGGCCUUAUAGUUGUAAAGCACUUUAAGCGGGGAGGAGGCUACUUUAGUUAAUACCUAGAGAUAGUGGACGUUACUCGCAGAAUAAGCACCGGCUAACUCUGUGCCAGCCGCCGCCGUAACAC